AUUGAUCAAAUGCUAGAAAUAUUAUCCAAACAUACACAUUUUUGCUUUCUAGACGGUUAUUCUGGUUCCUCUCAAAAACCUGUGUCAAAAGAGGAUCAGGAAAAGACCACUUUUACUUGCCCUUUCGGUACCUUUGCUUAUAGACGUAUGCCUUUUGGUUUAUGUAAUGCACCUACUACCUUUGAAAGAUGUAUGACUGCUAUAUUCUCUAACUUUUGUGAAAAGAUUGUUGAGGUUUUCAUGGAUGAUUUCUCCGUGUAUGGAACUUCUUUUGAUGAUUGCUUAAGCAACCUUGAGCGAGUUUUGCAGAGAUGUGAAGAAACUAAUCUAGUCUUGACCUGGGAGAAGUGCCACUUUAUGGUUAAUGAAGUUAUUGUCUUGGGGCAUAAAAUUUCUGAAAGAGGU
rnacentral:rRNA from 1 species